rnacentral:piRNA from 1 species
AGUUAUUGUUGGAAAGUUGAAUUC